UAAUAUAUAUACGAUUUUACAUAUACGUUAAAUUUCUAAGGGUUGAUGCUUUUGGUUAUGGAUCAGUUGGGCUUCGGCCCUUGCGCGGGCCUACGGGCUCCGCAGGCUAAUUUUCAAAAUCGUCAAAAAAUUUUUUUGAAAAACUAUAAUCCCAUUUUGAGUAAAUUUGAAAUUUUGAAAUUGCAUUGUGAAUUUUCUGUGACAGUGAGUAAAAAUAACGACAAUGGAUUAGAAGCAGACAGCUGGUUUCUUUGAGAAACUGAAGAAUCUCCGGCUGUGAAAAGGGAAGCAGGUCAACGGAAUGAAGAAAAGAUAAUUAUUAAUAACUUUUACUAAUAAUUAAUUAAGAAAAUGGAACAUUUUGAGAGGACAUAAAAUUGGUUAUCGUUAGAAAAAUGUAAAAUGACCGUAAAUUUGAAAAAUUUUCGGCAUUGAAUUGACAUAUCCCUUAGAAUAAUUAGCCAACAUGUAACCUACACUUAAAAUAAUCAAUUAAUAUUCUGCUUAAUAAUAUAUAAGUAACAUAUAUAAACAUAUAUAUCAAACAAUGUUCUUAAUCUAAGAUUUAUCACCACUAGUUAUACACGGCAUAUACUUUUAAGGAUUAAAAAACUAUAAAUUAAAGUUUAAAAUUUUGAAUCUUAAUUUCAUUAUUUUGAUUCCACGACCGUGUAACGAAAAUAGUCGUGAGGCGGGUGUAUUAUGCAAUAAAAAUUAUUUAUAAUUCUACACGCAAUGUGUAAUUAAUUAUAAAAUAAUUAAUUAAUUUAGUUAAUUUAAACCAUCGAUUAAAAAAUAAAUUAAUUUUUUGAUUUUGAUCUCAUAUUUAAAUAUGAAUGAUGAUAACAAAAUCUACGUCUUCCAUGAAUUUAUAUGACUAUGCUUUUAGAUAAAUAUAUAUACAUAUAUGUACGAUUAAUGUUUAGAAAUAUAUGUCAGUAGAUAUAAGUGUAUGUGAGCUAUUGUAAAACUGCAUUGGGGACUUGAGAAUCGCAAAAACCACCAUCAUAUAUAUAACAAUAAGAUGCUAUACUAUAUUAUAUAUUAUUAUAUUAUACAAUACUAUGCUAUGAAUAUAUAGAUAAAAAUAUAUACUAUUGUUACAGUUAUUAUUGACAGCUAUUGAAGCCGAGCUAAAUAAAUAAAUAAAAAAUUUCACGCAGUGUGGCUUUAAGAAAUAAGAAUACGUUCAACAGGAACGGGCGGACUGGAUGAAACCGUUUGUAAAAAAAGGGUUCAUGUUGUUACGCCGUUCACAAAAGUUGUGACGCGACAAUAAAAAAGUAGAAUAGUUGAUGAUAAAAUAUAUAAUUGGGAUAAUUAAUAGCUAUGUGUGCUUAAAAUAUUUAAUGUAUUAAUGGAUCGAACAAUUCCUGUCCGGCGUUUAUGCUUAUAAUGGCUUUUAAUUUGUCAGUGUAUGCUUACUUAGAUAAACGACAAUGUUAUUGUACUGUUAGCUGUUGACAUCAUGUAAUAAUAAUUAAAUGUAUUGGAAAAUAAUAAUGGUUGAAAUGAAAA